AACGAACGCUGGCGGCAGGCCUAACACAUGCAAGUCGAACGCUCCGCAAGGGGAGGCGGCGCACGGGUGAGUAACACGUGGGAACCUACCUUCUGGUACGGAACAACCAAGGGAAACUUUGGCUAAGACCGUAUACGACCUCCGGGUGAAAGAUUGAUCGCCGGAAGAGGGGCCCGCGUCCGAUUAGGUAGUUGGUGAGGUAACGGCUCACCAAGCCCUCGAUCGGUAGCUGGUCUGAGAGGAUGACCAGCCACACUGGGACUGAGACACGGCCCACGACUCCUACGGGAGGGCAGCAGUGGGGAAUAUUGGACAAUGGGCGCAAGCCUGAUCCAGCCAUGCCGCGUGAGUGA
rnacentral:rRNA from 1 species